rnacentral:lncRNA from 1 species
CCCACCAAUCAUUUAAUAUACAAUCAGUCAACCACCAUAAGAAUACAAACAUUAAAAAUCAAAUUAUUUACAAAAUUUAUCGAGGUUCCAAAUCCAAACUAUAAAACAUACAAAAGACUAAAAACUACAACUAAUCAUCAACAUCUUCAUUCUCAGCAUCACCCAUUUUACUAUCAAUAUUUCAUUGAUAUAUCCAUCUAUAAUCAGGUUCCAUCUACAAAAUCAAUCACAUUCAAGUAAUUAGUUAAAGUCACAAAAGUUCACAUUUCAAAUACCUACACUUAAAUAUUUUCAAGUCACCAAUUUACUUCACAAGUUACCAAACUAAACUUAAUUCAAAAUGAAAAGUUCACGUUUCAANNNNNNNNNNNNNNNNNNNNNNNNNNNNNNNNNNNNNNNNNNNNNNNNNNNNNNNNNNNNNNNNNNNNNNNNNNNNNNNNNNNNNNNNNNNNNNNNNNNNNNNNNNNNNNNNNNNNNNNNNNNNNNNNNNNNNNNNNNNNCCACACCUAAACAUUUUCAAGUCACUAAUUCACUUCACAAGUUACCAAACUAAAUUUAAUUCAAAAUGAAAAGUUCAAAUUUCAAGUACCUACACUUAUACAUUUUCAAGUCACUAAUUCACUUCUCAAGUGACCACACUUUACUAAAAUCAAAACACAAGUUCACAUUUCAAAUACCUAAAUUCAAAACAAAAAGUUCAUAUUUCAAGUAACUACACCUAAAUAUUUUCAAGUCACUUCACAAGUUACCAAACUGAACUAAAUUCAAAAUGAAAGUUCACAUUUCAAGUACCUACACCUAAACAUUUCAAGUCACUAAUUCACUUCACAAGUUACCAAACUAAACUAAAUUCAAAAUGAAAAGUUCACAUUUCAAGUACCUACACCUAAACAUUUUCAAGUCACUAAGUCAUUUCACAAGUUACCAAACUAAACUAAAUUCAAAAUGAAAAGUUCACAUUUCAAGUACCUACACUUAAAUAUUUUCAAGUCACUAACUCACUUCUCAAGUGACCAUACUUAACUAUAUUCAAAACAUUAGUCCACCUUUCAAGUAACUAUACUUAAAUAUUUUCGACUCACUAAUGCACUUCUCAAGUAACUACACUUAACUAAAUUCAAAAAAUAAGUCCACAUUUCAAGUACCUACACUUAAAUAUUUUCAAGUCACUAACUCACUUCUCAAGUGACCACACUUAACUAUAUUCAAAACACACGUUCACCUUUCAAGUAACUACACUUAAAUAUUUUCGACUCACUAAUACACUUCUCAAGUGACCAUACUUAACUAAAUUCAAAACACAUAUCCACAUUUCAAAUGCCUACACUUAAACAUUUUCAAUUCACUUAUUCACUUCUCUAGUGACCACACUUAACUAUAUUCAAAACACAAGUUCACCUUUUAAGUAACUACACUUAAAUAUUUUCGACUCACUAAUACACUUCUCAAGUGACCAAACUUUAGUAAAUUCUACACAUUCAUGACAAUUUAUAUCUCAAAAGUCAAAACUUUAUUUACCCUAACUUUUUAGGUCUAAAAAUUUAAUGUUACUUCCUAUAUUGUGUAACUGUCUCCUUACAACAUCCUAUCUGACAUCUUAAAAGGAUAUUUUUAUACGUUAAAGAUCCUAUAUUAUUUUUCUUUUAGAGAGAUAUGUCUAAAGCUCUUAUUUAUCACAAAGAAAGAUAGAGAGUCUAUAGAGUGUAGAGUGCGUCAGUUGCAAGUUGUCUUUGAAGGAAAAUAAUGGUUGUUUAUAUAGUCCUAGUAGUGUAAAACUAUAGUUGUUGCUAGUAGUGUAAACCUACUAGCAAGGACACACUCCUUGCUACUAUCCUUCUACUCUAAUUCGCAUCCUUCGUACCUUCGAACAAGUAAUAUUAAAAUAAUGAUAUCAAUCAGCAUAAGGCUGCCUCUUCAAAAUGAAAGAUGAACAAAAUUCAUAGUCUGGCCAAAUUUAGUACAGAGGUGUCCUACCAUACAAGAAAUGUAAUGGUAGGCUGUUUCAGACAUAUCAUCAAAUUUCUACAAUAAUGGAACCUGCAAUAUUCUACUCUUACAUAAAGAAAGAUCAAAUAUGGGACAAAUCAGCAAGCUAGGAACAAAAGUAAGUGCAUCACAAAGAAAGAUCUCCCUGGGGUGGGAUUAAUUCAGCACCCAUGUCCACCAUCCUUACCAAGGUCAACCCUGACAAGACUGUCAUCUCACAGGAAAAGGGUAAUCUAAUGAAUAUUAAACUAGAGGAUUAGAACACUUAAAAUGUAUCGAAAAAUACAAACCAACGGAGAUAGUAUCUAAGAAUGAUUUCAACAAGAAGAUUCUGAAAGAAAUUUAAAAUAUUUUAACAUUACAUAGUUUCUACACAGCAUAAUCGAUCAAAAGAAAGAAAAAUGCACAGUGACGAGGAUUGAAUGAAGGAGAAAAUAACAUACUCUAUCAACAUUAUAGAUUCUACAACUAACUUACUUCUCAAGUGACGAGGAUGGGAGUUUCGUCGGUUGAGCGACAAAGAGGAAGUCGAUGCUGGAGCAGUACCUGGUGGGUCAUUGGCGGCGGUUCUUGAUGGUUCCGCUAGCUGGAGCUAUGGCUGGAAACGAGAGAGCAGAGAGAGGAGGCCGAUAAUGGGUUGCUACUUCUCCAGCGUCUCACUAGCCACGAUGACCGACGUGGUGGUGGCCGACGACAACUUUUGCUAUUUGAUAAAGAAAGAAAGAAGAGAGAGAAAGGGGGAGAGAGAGAUGCGGCUGUUGAGAGAAUAUUGGGAUUAGGUUUUGUUUUGUUGUUUGAAAAGAAAAGGAAGGGG